rnacentral:rRNA from 1 species
GAUCAUGGGCUCAGGAUGAACGCUAGCUACAGGCUUAACACAUGCAAGUCGAGGGGCAUCAGUUUGGUUUGCUUGCAAACCAAAGCUGGCGACCGGCGCACGGGUGAGUAACACGUAUCCAACCUGCCUCAUACUCGGGGAUAGCCUUUCGAAAGAAAGAUUAAUAUCCGAUAGCAUAUAUUUCCCGCAUGGGUUUUAUAUUAAAGAAAUUCGGUAUGAGAUGGGGAUGCGUUCCAUUAG